CAGUAGCCGCGGGAAAACAGAGGGUGCGAGCGUUAAUCGGAUUUACUGGGCGUAAAGCGUGCGUAGGCGGCUUCUUAAGUCGGAUGUGAAAUCCCUGAGCUUAACUUAGGAAUUGCAUUCGAUACUGGGAAGCUAGAGUAUGGGAGAGGAUGGUAGAAUUCCAGGUGUAGCGGUGAAAUGCGUAGAGAUCUGGAGGAAUACCGAUGGCGAAGGCAGCCAUCUGGCCUAAUACUGACGCUGAGGUACGAAAGCAUGGGGAGCAAACAGGAUUAGAGACCCCGGUAGUCCCUGUCUAUUAUAC
rnacentral:rRNA from 1 species